AAACCUUUGUCCCGGAAAUUUAUGGGCGUAAAGACCUCGGAAAGGCGGCCUUGUCGCUUCCUGCCCGUUGAAACCCCGAGGGCUUCAACCUGGGGUAUGCGGUGGGUACCGGGCAGGGCUAGAAGUGCGGUAGGGGGAGAUUGGAAAUUCCUGGUGUAGCGGUGAAAUGCGCAGAUAUCAGGAGGGAACCACCGAUGGCGAAGGGCAGAUCUCUGGGCCGUAAACUGACGCUGAGGAGCGAAAGCAUGGGGAGCGAACAGGAUUAGAUACCCUGGGUAGUCCAUGCCGUAAACGUUGGGAACUAGAUGUAGGGCCUGUUCCACGGGUUCUGUGUCGUAGCUAACGCAUUAAGUUCCCCGCCUGGGGAGUACGGCCGCAAGGCUAAAACUCAAAGGAAUUGACGGGGGCCCGCACAAGCGGCGGAGCAUGCGGAUUAAUUCGAUGCAACGCGAAGAACCUUACCAAGGCUUGACAUAUAGAAGAACACUGCAGAGAUGCAGGACUCUUUGGACACUUCUAUACAGGUGGUGCAUGGUUGUCGUCAGCUCGUGUCGUGAGAUGUUCGGUUAAGUCCGGCAACGAGCGCAACCCUCGUCCUAUGUUGCCAGCACGUGAUGGUGGGAACUCAUGGGAUACUGCCGUGGUCAACACGGAGGAAGGUGGGGAUGACGUCAAAUCAUCAUGCCCCUUAUGUCUUGGGCUUCACGCAUGCUACAAUGGCCGGUACAAAGGGCUGCGAUACCGUAAGGUGGAGCGAAUCCCAAAAAGCCGGUCUCAGUUCGGAUUGGGGUCUGCAACUCGACCCCAUGAAGUCGGAGUCGCUAGUAAUCGCAGAUCAGCAACGCUGCGGUGAAUACGUUCCCGGGCCUUGUACACACCGCCCGUCAAGUCAUGAAAGUCGGUAACACCCGAACCCGGUAGCCUAACCCCCUUGUGGGGAGGGAGCUGUCGAAGGUGGGACUGGUGAU
rnacentral:rRNA from 1 species